GUAAGGAAUAUUGGACAAUGGGCGCAAGCCUGAUCCAGCCAUGCCGCGUGAAGGAUGAAGGCCCUAUGGGUUGUAAACUUCUUUUAGCAGGAAAAAAACCCCUCGAUGCGUCGGGGGCUGAUGGUACCUGCAGAAUAAGGAUCGGCUAACUCCGUGCCAGCAGCCGCGGUAAUACGGAGGAUCCAAGCGUUAUCCGGAUUUAUUGGGUUUAAAGGGUGCGUAGGCGGAUAAGUAAGUCAGUGGUGAAAGCCUGCAGCUCAACUGUAGAAUUGCCAUUGAUACUGCUUAUCUUGAAUAUAGUUGAAGUGGGCGGAAUAUGACAUGUAGUGGUGAAAUACUUAGAUAUGUCAUAGAACACCGAUUGCGAAGGCAGCUCACUAAGCUAUUAUUGACGCUGAGGCACGAAAGCGUGGGGAGCAAACAGGAUUAGAAACCCGAGUAGUCC
rnacentral:rRNA from 1 species